UUCUCCGUUCACCCUAGCAGCCGCCCACCUCUUUCCUUUUUCUUCUUCUAUUUGUCGCAGCCGCCGAUCAUCUCCCUCUCUUCCCUUCCGUCCGUCGAAGCCAAGGCCGCCGCGUGAACCUGUAACCGCCGGCUGUCUCCCCUCUCCUUUCUCCUCUGUUUUCUGCCCAGCGUCGUGUGACCCUCUGCCCAGCACCGCGUGACCCUCCGCCCAGUGCCGUGUGACCCUCUGCCCAGCACCGCGCAACCUUUGUCUCGCGCCGUUGUCCAGAUCUGCAACGCCGUGUCCCCACCGGUAGCCGAUCUCUUCCUAAAUUGCGUGUCCCCUAUCAAGUCGUCGUUCUUCUGCUCGUUGGAAGACGGAGUUACGAUUUGAAGCCGAUUUUCUUUUCCGGUUGAGUCGCAUUCAGUGUUGCUCUAUUUACAGCCGUUUGAUUCGUUCUUGAUUGUCAUUUUUGCCUUGCCGUGAACCAUUGGGCUCAUAUUUGGGUAAGAACAAGUUAUGGUUUUUGUUGGUUUCUUGGUUUUUGUUGAAUGCUACCAUUGGAUUUAAUUGUUGGCGAAUUGCUUAAUUCUUGAAGGUACAUCUUAAUUCAGUGAGCGAAUCCUUGAUUUUCCAAAAGGUUGAAGUGGAAUUGAUUUUCCACUUCUUGGGUAAGUUGUGGAAUUUACAUAUGGGGUAAUUUGAAUGGUUGAAACUAUUUAGAAAGAUGUUGAUUUUAUGUUUGAUUAUGUUUAGGAUUUGAUUUAUUGGAUCACUUAAAUUCAUUGUGAAUUUUGAUUUCAGUUUGCCCUUAUUUGGAUUGUUUCGUGGACGAUAGUUGAUUAAGGAGCUUCCCUAACUUUGAGGUAAGGGAUUUUCUACUGGACUCAACAACAAAAUUAAGAUAUAUUGACUAAUUAAGAUGUAUUGACUGUAUGGACCGAAAUAUUAUAUGUGAACUGAGUAGGGACGACAGUUAUGAUGUAUGUUUGGGUAUUGACUUAAAGUUUAAUGUUUGCUGUGUUUGACUGGGAGAAAUUAAUAUAUAUAUGUGCAUGGGUUGAUGUGGACUGUGGUUGAGUAUAUGUUGUGACUGUCUGGUUAUGUAUAUGUACAAAGAUAAGGAUGUGGAAACGACUGAAUCUCGUAGAUGUUGCUUAUAUAAAGUGUGGAUUUGAUUAGUAGAUUGAUUGUUGUCUAGACUGAAUGUAUAAUCUACUGUUAUGUUGUGUGCUUGUGAACGGAGGAAACGUCAUGGUUGUGCCCUUGGUGGCUGAGGAGGAGAUUAUGAUUGUUUAGCUUGUUAACUGAUGUAAUGAUAUACUUUUUAUUGACCUUGGGCUAAAUUAGAGUAAGACGACUGUUUGGGGUUAAAUAAGGAGUUUAUAUGAUGAGAAUGUUUAACUGAUCUGUGAAUGACUGUUAAGAUGUUUAGAAUGGACUGAGGGGAAAAAUUGUUAGCUUUUAUUGGGAUGUGUGCCUUGUAGGUGUCCCACGGGAUCACCAAUUAUUCUGCACCUUCGGGAGCAUUAGACUGAUAUGUGUUUCUGCAGAACACUAGACUGAAAUGUACGUCCCUCGGGGUUAGACUGAAAUAUGCAUCCUACGGGAUCACAAGACUGCGACUGUACAGGGUGUCCCAAUAGAAUGUUAACAAUUUAUUUUCCCCUGAUGGGACCAGUAGAGGGUUUCUUACUGGGUAUUUUAUACUCACCCUCCUUAUGUUUAAUUUUUUCAGGCAAAGGUAAUAAAGGCGACAAACCGGCGAGGGGCAGGAAGGAAGCGUGAUUGCCAUAGGGGAUAUUUUAAUUUGCUUCCGCUUAAUGUUUUGUUUCUCAUGUUUUGUUUUAGUACUUGAGAUUGUUUAGAAAAUUUUAUAGUUGAACUGUAUUCACGAAUUAGUAAACUUUUCUUGAAAGUGUUGGCUAUUUUAAACAGGGCCCAAAUAUAAAUUUUUGUUUUCUUUGAGACUUUGAAAUUAUUUGAGAUUGAGAUUUUGCGUAAACUCAGGUCUUUAUUUGAAAUUAAUGACUUCGACUUAUUUGGAAAAGUUGGGUCGUUACACCUUGUAUUGGUGUUUCCUUCCCAAUUAAAAUUGAUUUUCACUUGUUGGACCUUUUAGAUAUUUUGAACCCAUAAGUGGGGGAUUGUUAGUGAUAUAUAAUUAAAUUUACUUUUAAUCACUAGCUUAAGAUUUUGGGUGGUGGUUUAAUUAAUAGCAUCAGCUUUCUAAAAAAUUUCUUCAAGGCGGGUUUCCAAGAAGCGAAUUGAGUUAGGAACUUUCAUUAGGUAGAGCAUUUGCUCUUCAACCUUUACCAGUCGGUCCACAUGGGCCUCGCCCGACUAUUUUGUUAUGGACAUGUUUACAUUUUAACCGUUAAUAAGCCAACUUAGGCUAUCACACCCCACCACGAGAACCUACUUGCGUGGCUCGAGAUAUGGCGUGAAGCCAAUCGAUAGCACCCACGUCAAGAACGACACCAUUUAACCCUUAGCCUGAACCUUUAAACUCUAAACAACAGCGGAAACAUAACACAUAAAUUUUACUAAAACCAAUUGGGCUAAACCUUUUUCAUUUAACAACCUUAGACAAGUUUUACAUAGAAAAAACGUAAUCUUAUUUAUCUAGAACAAAACCUUAUUAAACCUUCCCAAAAGCCUAAGUCUGAUAGCACAAAAGACUAAUUUAUCAUUAGUACAAAAUAACAGGACACAUAUGAUAACAAAAUGAAAUCCUUUAGUAGACAGGUAGUAGCAAGUUAGGCUUAGAGGACACGAUCUCUACCUAGAAAGUGGGAAAACAUUUUGAAUAUUAUGCAUUUUGAAGAGUAAACAAUAUGCUUGAAUAAAUACCUUUAAACAAUAACACCCUUGAAAGACUUUUCAUAACAUAACUUAAACAUUUUAUCAUAAAUCCGUCAUAAAUCAUGACUUAAGAACAUGCUUGAAAUCACUUUAAAUAAAACAUUUUCCACUCAUAGAUACAAGCUCAAAUCCUUGGUUUAUAAAUUUGUAUGAUCUUCUCAUGUCCUGAAAUAAUGGUAAAAUAGUACAAUUAAUUAUCUUUUGCCAAUAAAAUAUCAAAAGUAUACUUAAAAAACACAAAAAAUUACCAAAAAUAGCUCAACACGCAAUAUGACACUGCCUGGCACGAAUGGGUGGGUAGUAGGGCCUUGGUUGGGCGCUGGCUACUGUGUGUGAAUCUCACAAGAGGCUUUUCACGCGUGUUGGGCAUGCCCGCGUGCUAACCUCACACACAAGCACAUUGUGAACCUCACAUGGUUGCGUGCUUGGCAUUUCGUGUAGCCCUCCUCGUGUGCAUUCUUGGCUAGUGCAUUUCUUGUGUCACAAUCGCGAGCUUUCAAACACGAGAGGAGCGAUUAUGUUGCACUUGUUUUACGUAGACAACAAGUUAGCUGAUCAAAAUCCAGAAACCACGGACAAACACAUGAUACGAUGUAGCCUCUCUUCACGUUCUUAAGAAAAUGUUUUAUAAAACGUGAGGAGAAAGAAAUUCAAUGAAAAUAUCGUUAAAGCAAGCAUUGAAGACUGUCAAUUGCAAAGAAAAACUUUGAUUGCGAAGAGUGCAACAAGGCUUGGGCAGGAAUUCAACUACUAUGUCCCAUCUAUAGUACAUUUUAGACUUUUUUAGUUCUGGUAGGCUUGCAUAAGAAAAAGCCAAGUCACACCCAAGGUUUAUGACAUAAAAAGGAAAGCAAAAAGUAAAACUAAAUACAAAACAUAAAAACAAUGUAAAUUGGGGGUGUUUGGGCAUGCGGCCAUAAGUAAACAGCGCCUUGGACAAGCAUGCUUGUUACAUUCUCCCCCACUUAAACAAUUGACGUCCCUGUCGACUGGAAGCUAGAAUUCCUCGAUCUUCUUCUUUCACGCUCCAAGGUCUUCAGCACAUUCCUAACGUGUUUCUUCCACAUGGAGGUUCUUUCACUUCAGUAGGAAUUCAUGUAUCUUCUUCAUGGGUAUACCCUUCCUCACUCUCUUAGGAAGGAUUUCUUCCAUUUCUUUAUCGUCUUUCUGCUUUAGGUCACUAGAUGACCAUACACCAUUGUUGCACUACUGGUCAUCUGGAUCUUGAUGGUAAGGUUUCAAGUUGCUCACAUGAGCUACUAGAUGAUUUUUUAUCCAUGCAGGCAACGAUACCCUAUAGGAUGCAUUUCCAAUUUUCUUCAGAACUUCAACAGGCCCUUCGUAUUUUCUGGUGAGAUGCUGAUGUUGAUGUCCUCUAAAUCAAAUUUGCUUUGCUUUAAACUCUAUGAAGAGUUGGUCUUCCGCUCAAAACUUGAGAGGAUGAUGCUUCUUAUCAUACGCUUCGAGACUUUCUCUUAGUAUGCUCGAGCGAUGUUCGUAGUCUUCUCCCACUUUUUCGUAAAGUUAUGAGCUUGAGGAUUUUUUCCGGCAUAAGGAUGAUCAACAAUAUGAGGCAGUAUAGGUUGUCUUCCACUCAAGAUUUCGAAAGGACUCGUUCUUGUGGAUAGACUAGUUUGUGCAUUAAAACAAAAUUGAGCCACAUCCAUCAACUAGGCCCAAUUCUUUUGUCCAGAAUCAACAAAAUGUCGUAGAUAUUCCUUAAGCAUACAAUUGAAUCCUUCAGUUUGGCCAUUCGUCUGAGGAUGGCAGCUUAAGGAUAUAUUUAGGCGUGUCCCCAAGAAGGCGAAUAGUUCGGUCCAGAGAGUACCAAUGAAUCUACCAUCCCUGUCACUCACAAUGCUUGAUGGAACUCUCCAUAACUUCAAGACGUUCUUAAAGAACAAGUGUGCUAUCAGCUCGACAGAACAUAGUUUUGUAGUGGGGAUGAAGGUGGCGUACUUCGAGAACCAAUUGAUUAUAACCAAGAUGCCUCAAAGUCGUUCACCUUUGGGAUGUGUAAUAAAAUCCAUGGAUUUCGCACAUUCAGGGAAUUUCAAUGUGUUCGACUAACUUUCCAAAGUUACUUUCUCUAUUAAAGCCUGAAGCCCCGUAUGCUGCAAGAAUCAGUGUUGCCAAUCGAGGUUGCAACGUUUCAAAUGCAACUGAUCAGCAUACCAUUCAAAAUUUGAAUUUUCAACAUGACGAGUUUGUAACUUUAGUGCCCCUUGGAGAAGAAAAUGAAAUUCAGGGUAUGUGUAAUUCAGGUUUUGUUCCACAAGAUAGUACAAUUUAAAUUAUUCUCCAUAUGUUGCUUAAUUAUCUCAUAACGGUUUAUUUAAACCAGGAUGCAGUGCAUGACAGCAACGGUCUGGUUUCUUUUGCAGAAAUAGAGAACAACACGACAGCUAGUAUUGCAAAAUUAUCCAAUACUCUUGGUAAUUUGGAUGAGACACAUUGUUCUUGCUCUAAACAUAGCGCAAAGAGAGUUUGGGAAGCAUCACUUUCUUCCCUGAAGUCAAAGAAAGUAAAAGGAGUCAAUCUGGACCAUUUCCAUUCCCACUCUAACAAAAAUCUUGAUCCUAAAAGUGAUGUAUACGAUACCUGCUCUCCAGGAUGCUCUUUAGCCAAUUCAAAGCAUGAGAUUUUAUCAAGUAUUUAUCCUAAAAAUCCAACCAAUCAGUGUACACAAAAUUUCUGUCAAGAAUUUGGAAGUGUAAAUGUGGCAUCAGAGGACCUCAAUUCUGAAGAGAACACAUUAGGAAAAUCAUUUAAAAUUAUGCUGAUGAACAUUGCAGACGAAACUAAGAAAACUCAGCUCAUGAAGGUACGGUACCAAUUUAUAGUCUUCUAAAAUAUUCAUCAUUCAUGUUUCUUUUAUGAGAUUUUCUAUUGAUGGUAUUGAAGUUUUAUAUCCUUGGCUUAGUAUUCUUUAAAGGGGUGUUUGGCACAAGGAGUGGUCCAAGAAGUUGUGAAAUCUAGAAAGUUUUGAACUCUUAGGGCCUAGGACAUACGAAGUCAAUAAGGCAUAAAAUUGAAAUUUUCUUGUCGGGAGUCCACAAACACUUUUGGCCAAACAAAGAGCGGAAAACUCCACACUUCCCUAAUCCUACUCUUCCAGCUCCUUGGCUCAUACAGCCUCUACGAUCUCUAAAUAUGAUAGGCCCAUGGUAGUGAAGGUGUACACCCGUAGGCACAAGAAAGGAUUCAGGAGAGGAGGAUGGGAAGCUGUAUUUGUUGGUCUGAAUGUUGCUAGUUAAGGGGGCCAUGAGUCUUUUAUGCUUUCAUAUAAAUGCUAUUAUGAUUGUUUGGGGAGGGUAUGUUUUGACAUACCUUGUAUUAGGUUUCUUAGAAUAAUUGGGAGAGCUAGAGAAGCUUUUGAUUCCUUCCCUCCAUUAUUGACAAAUAAAAUUGAGGUUAAGGCUUAUCAUAUACAUACCCAGUCAUUGAACUUCUCCAUAUUCCUUAAGAGGCUUGGCUUAUUUGGCUGGCUCUACUCAUGUAGGAUUUCGAAAGGCGAAUCUGACAUCCUGCCAAAAAUGAUUAAUCAGUUUCUUUAACUGUUGAACUUUUAGGUUGUAUACUAGCAAGCACAUGAAGUUUAGGGAUUCAAUCUUUAUAUUAUUUUUAAGAGUUAUUCAAUAUCCCUACCUAGAAUAGACAAAUGAAGCUUGAAACUACCCAUAAUAUUAAUGAUGUUGUUUAAUUAUGACAUUUUGUUAUCGGUCUUUCUAACUUACGAAUAUCCAUCUUCUGAUAUGUGUUCACAUGCAUAUUUUAUGGAUGUAGAUUUUAUAGUAUUUCUUUAUUUAUUUUAUAUGGCAUUAGCUGUAUACUUUUUUAUAAAAUAUUAAUAUAAAUAUUAAACCACCGAUUCACCAAAAAGUUUAAGCUGGUGGUUGAAAGAAAAUUCAAUUAUAGCCUUAAGCUUAAGCUACUUUGGUGGACUAGAAAGUAUAAUCUUAGAAACACUCAAUCUGAUCAAGUUCUCUGAAGCAAGAAUUAAAGUUUGGAAAAAUCUUUGCGGAUUUUUACCAGCAACUAUAGAAUUAAAGAGUGAGAACUGAGGAAAAUUUUCCCUUAAUUUUGGGGAUUUUGAACCCUUAGAAGCUCCUGUAAUAAUCCAAUCUGAUCUAUUUCAAAGUGAUUUUUCCAAUCCUAUUGAUUUAUGUAGAAUAAAUUCAGUGAUUUUAGAUGAAGGGCUCCAAAGUGAUGGUCUCCCAGAUACCUGAAUUUUCUCAAACAGAAUGCCCCAUCCAUCUCAAGAAAUCCUUUCGAAGCACUUAGGAAGUUGGAUGAUGAAGAAGAAAACCUUGUUCGACCGGAAAGAGUUUCAGACCUUGAAUCCUCGCCGGAAAAAAUAAUUUUCAGAAGGCAAAAUUCAAAUUUGGGUAUAGCUGGCAUCUCCACGUACUUAGAAGGGGAAAAGACUUCAACAGAAAAGAGAGAAAAACAGACCUUGAAAGUAGAAAAGGCAGCCAGCCGGUAUUUUAUUAUCUCAAAAAAUAGCUCACCUAGCCCUCCCCAACCAGAUUUUUUCAAACUUAAUGUAUCUGCAGACAUUUUAAAAUCUGACACACAGAUGGUAGGCCCCAAGAAUUUUAUUAAUCAGAAUACCAAUGGCUUUUGGUAUUCUGACGAAUUGGAGGAAGAAUCAGAGUCCUCUCCUCCAUCAAGGAACUUCACUUGCUGGCCAUCUCCUGUUUUCAGUUCUCAACCAAAAUUACCAGCCUCUCCCAAGACUAAAAUAUCCUCUGCAAUGAAAGCUAUUCCAAUACAUGCCAAAAAAUUUAUGAGCACCUCAAGACCUAUACCAAAGGGAGAACUUCUUUUCGCAACAUUUGGAUGAGCUUGGCUAAUUCUGAUUUAUUAGAGGAAAGUUGUGUGAAGAUACAAAUUCCAAAUUCAGUUGGCAAAAGGUCAGUACUGCCUUCCUCCUUAAGUAAUAAAUUUUCUCAAUCCUCCUCCAAACUUUUUGGUUCAUUCUUUAAUUUUGUGCAAGAUACUUCUUGUCUCAAAAAAGUUGAGAACCUAGAAGAUGAAUUCAUGGAAGUUGAAUCAGUCACCAGUUUAAGUAGUGCAGAAUUUGAACCAGUUGAGGAAGAAAUAAUUCAAUCAGAGACAGAGAAACAAGAGGACAUUGACUCUCUCGGUCCAGAUUUUAUUAAAUUGUUUUCCUCCCCAUAAAAAGAAAUUUUGUGCAGGUCAGCAAGUAUCCUUCCCCCUCAAGAGUUGGUUCCUUUCUUGGCAGCAUGUGAAAUUGAAUUGAUAUAAGGCAGAGGUAGCAAAGAUGGAGAUUAUAUCAUGGAACACUAGAGGAUUCAUGGGCCAUUCGAAACAAUUGGCUAUUAAAAAUCUUUUGAAGAAAGCUAAUCCAGAUAGAGCAUUGAUUCCGGAGACCAAAAGAGAAGAGAUUGCCAGUUGUAUUAUAAAGGCACUAUGGAGUUUAAAAGGAAUUGGCUGGGUCUUUGUUUGAAGCUAGUGGCAGAUUAAGAGUUUUGCUGAUUAUGUGGAUAAAUAUAAGUUGUCGAUUAUUGAAGUUCGGUCAAGAGAAGGAAUGUCAUUACAGUGUGGCUUAUAAGUUGUUUCAACAUUAAUUUAUAAGUUGUUUGGAAAGGUUCUCGCAGAAAGAUUAAAGAAAGUCAGGCCAGUAUUACUUUGUAAGACCUCCUAUUAUCUAUACCUAUAAAAGGAACGGUAGAAAGGGAAAUUCCUUAGCAACCAAUGAUGAGAGAAUAAUGGGAGAGGAUCGUGCAGGUGGGGCCCGCCAGGAGGGAUGAGAGAGAGAGGUAUAAAUAUGUAAUGUUGGGGUAGGGGAGGCUAGGUCUUUUUUGGUUAUUUCAAGGAGAGUAAAGGCUGUUGUAGCCUGAGGGUAUCCAGCCCCGUAUAAAGGAGCUGGGUAAGUUUUCUAUGUUGUUCAUCCUUUAUUUUUCAUAUCUACUACAGUUGAAUGUGUUUUGGCUUUUACAUAAAUAAAGAAUUACAGAGUGCUGCCUCUGUUUAGCCAUUUGGUUAGGAUAUUUUGUGUUUUAUUGUUAGAAUCCUAACAUACUUCUCCAUUACAAUGUGGCUUUCUGGAAGAGUGCCAAAUAUUGGAUCCUAUUUUAAUAGCAAAAGAAACUGUGGAGGUCUAUAGUAUCCGAAAAAAGAAAAGAUGGAUCAUUAAAUUAGACCUUGAAAAGGCCUUUAACAGAGUGGAUUGGAAAUUUUAGAAAAUGUAAUGCAAAAGAAGAUCUUCGACGUAGGAUAUUGUGAUGAUCAGAACUUUCGGAUCAACCCUCUGCUUCAAACAGUUUUUGCUCAACCAAUCAAGGCUUAUUCUUCUUUGUUCUCAGCAUGCUGCCUUGGAUUAUGAUUUUGCUUUGGAAAGAUUCUUUUUAUCAUUUUGUUUGUCUUUGUUUUUGUGGCUUUUUGUUUUGAUCUUGUGUUGUCGCUUUUUGGAUGUUUUGAGGGCACUAAGGGGGUCAACCUAGUUUGAGAUGCCCGGAUGCGCCUGUUGAUCUUCCCUCUCCCCUUUUGCUCUUUGUAUAAUCCUCAUGUACAUUGAGCUUUGUCUCUUUCUUAUAUUAAUAAUAGUGAGACUCGUAUCCUUUUUUAAAAAAAGAAAGAAAAUUCAAUUAUAUAUCACCAACACUCUCCUCACUUGUGGGCUUGAAAUAUUUGAAAGGCCCAACAACUGGAAACGGAUUUUAAUUGGGGAGGAAACGACAAUGCGAGGCUUGAACACAAGACCUUCUUGGACCACCUGCUCAGAUACCAUAUUGAAAGGGAGACAAAUAAACACAGAACUUUAUGUGGAAACCUGUGUACCAGGAGAAAAACCACUAUAUUUUUCUUCUUAUUAUUUUUGAUGAAAAAUACAAUAGGUACAAGGGAGAAUAAAUAGAAUAUACAGAGGAAUAAAAAAGGAAAAUAUUUAGGAAUUAAGAAAAAUAUUCCCAUAAACUUUUCAUAAAUAUUCUAAGAUUCUAACAAUAAAAAGUUCUAUUUAUUCCAAAUUGUGACUGCUCUAAUGUGCAGUUGUUUUCUGAUUCAGAUGAUUGAGGAGCUUGGUGGUUCUCUCACUGCUGAUGGGAGUACAAGCACUCAUGUCAUUACAGGAAAUUUGCGGAAAACUCUAAAUUUUUGUAUUGCUCUCUUUUCAGGGUUAGUCUUGCAACCUUAGACGAACACUCUUCUAUGUAUCCUUUUGGCCUUUGAAUACCGAUAAUCAUCUCAUUUGCACAAAAGUUAGCGAUUCCAUGCACACAAGGCCUUUGUCGUUAUUCUUCCAUUGCCUCGUAGUUGUGCUUAGGCUGGAAAUUGUUGUGAACCUUCUAGAUCUAAAAGGGCAUAGUUUCUUAUUCUACUGCCUGUUUACUUUUAAUUAAACAUCAAAAUCAAUUCUUAUGUUUGAGUUGGAUUGUAUCAUGCUCUUCCUUCUCAGUUGUUUCUAUCGUGAUGGUGGGUAGUGGUUGUUAAGACAACCAUUAGGCUAAUUUGGGUUUCAGGCUUACUUUUCCCAUUUUACGUGUAAAAUGGCUCAAGCUCACUAAUGAAAGAUAUUUGUUGGCUAGCUAGUGUUUUUAUCCUCGAUUUCCUUCUUCCCCUAAUACAUUAUGUUAUGGAAUUUGUUAGAUACCUAGAUUAGUAUAGGGUUGGGGUAUAAGGGUAAUUAGAUAUUUAGGAAGUUACUAGUAGUUAUUGUGUAAGUGUGGUUACUAGUAGUUAUUAUGUAAGUGUGGUAACUAGGGUGGUUACAUGUUAUUAUAAAUGGAGGGAGGGUAAGUUGGGAGAAUUUUGGGGAGUGAUAUAAGGCUUGGGUGAGAGUACUCAAGAGGGAGGGUUCCAAGUGCUUUAUACUUGGUUUUAUCUUGUAUUUUCUUAUAGUUACAUUAUAAUAAAUUCAGAUCUUGUUCUUGUUAGGAAGCAUAUGUCUCCAAUAUUAUUUAAAUACAGUAGAAGAAUUAAAAAGGGUAAUAUUGACCCACACGAGAAUAUAGGAGAGAUUAUAGGAGGAGAGAAUAUUGGAGGAGAUCUUUCCCAUUAGUUUGUUAGUAAAGCAAAAUAAAAGGGAGGAAAGAGGAGGGAGAAAGGGGACAAAAUAUUCCAAAGAAGUAGAGGCUGCCGUCUUUCAUGCUCGGGAGAAGUAGAGGGUCCAAGUCAAGUUCUUUUUAUUGUUUGUUUUGGUCAUUUUCAUGGUUGCAGUUUGUUCUUAGUUUUUCUUGUUCUUUGUUGUGAUCCUCACUGGAGUGUGCCUUUAGGAAGUAGAUGUGAGUGAUUUUUUAUUCUCUAUACUGUAAUUCGUUGAGGUAAUUCAAUAAAGUAAGAUGCACUUGCCGUAUAUUUACAGUAUCUUAACAAAUUGGUAUCAGCGAUUUUACUUGGGAGAACGAUAGAGCAGCACAAAAACGGAUCGAAGAGAAGUUGGAGACCUCUGAUAAGGAAAUCUCAGGGAUACAAGUUCAGUUACACAAGUUGCUGGCAAUUGAAGAAAACUUGUUAUGCUUGCCAAAAAGCAUCGAAAGACUAGUCAUCUAGUUGGAAAAACAAGAACGGUUGCUAAAUGCAUCAAAUGAAUAGCAGAAGGAUAAUUCGACAAUCUCCGGAAGAAUGGAAGGAUCAUCGAGCAAAGGACAAACGAUUGAGAGUAUCAUCGAAGGUGGAGGUAAGACAUUGAAGGAAAUCAAGGUAGAAGGUAAAACAAACAAGUUUGAAAUGGAUGAAAACUCGAACGAUCAUAGCAAAUUCAAGAAGGUUGAAAUGCCUGUGUUCAGUGGCACUGAUCUGGAUUGUGUUUAUUUAGAACGGAUUGGAAUCUUCAGGUCCAUAAAUCGAUGGAUUCCAAGAAGUUGCUAAAUCCAUAGAAGAAUCGAGGAAAACAUGAUUGCAACGGUUAUACAACGAAGGUGAAGAGGAUGGCAAAGAGUGACCAAGAAGAAACUAUAGAGGAAGGUCGACGAGGAUUACCUGUGAGGCUCGAAAUGAAGACUCGAGUGAAGAAAAAUUUGUUGCUCAAAGAAACACAAAAUGGCUGGUUGCAAUGGAGAAAGAAGAAGCCGACAGUUGCCGGUCUACAGAGGCUCGAGAAGGUGGUCUGGAAUAGGGGUGAAUCACGUGACGAGGAAGAAGUUGUUGCACACAUGAUGGUGCCAAUGACGUGGUAGAAAUUGGUAGGAAAGAGGAUUAAGACAAAAGUAACAAUCUUGGGUUUUACUAUUUCAAGUGGGCUUCAACUUACUCUAAAUAAGCUUCAACUUAUUCUAAAUAAAACAUUGGGGGCACAUCAUUUUGUAGAUGAAAUGGGUGGAGAGUUCCAAAAAUAGGAGGGAAGAAAAACGUGUAUGUAGGUGGGUCCUAGGAAUGAAACCGGCGGCAGUAUGAUUUUGGUCUUGACGCAACACUUUGAUUAUGGCCUAGCCCAAUAGAGAUGAAGAGUUUGAAAAUUAAACACUUGUUGGUGAUAUGCAAAGGGUUAACUAAGACAAUGUGUUUUGGAAAAGGAAAAUUCAAGUACAUUGGGCUGCUUUGUGGGCUGAAGUCAAUGGACCUUAUUGGAAUCGAGAGUUUUUCAAAGCCGAAGGGGAGGAUUUCUUUUUCAACAUUGAAGAGCAGAAUGCUGGGGAUUGUUUGCAAUUAAAAAGAGAAAAAAAGAGAAAGGGGCCUUGAUCAUGUUUGUAAGCACACCUUGAGGACAAGGUGUUUUGAAGGAUCGGGUAAUGUUAGAUACCUAGAUUAGUAUAAGGUUAGGGGUAUAAGGGUAAUUAGAUAUUUAGAAAGUUACUAGUAGUUAUUAUGUAAGUGUGGUUACAUCUUAUUAUAAAUUGAGGGAGGGUAAGUGAGGGGAGAAUUCUGGGGAGUGAUUAGGGCUUGGGUGAGAGUACUCAAGAGGGAGGUUCCAAGUGCCUUAUACUUGGUUUUAUCUUGUAUUUUCUUAUACUUCAUUAUAAUAAAUUAAGAUCUUGUUCUUGUUAGGAAGUAUCCUAAUAGAAUUCCUCUAGAAGGUCUCAUGUUAGCGAAUGAUAAUCUGCGUUAAGUGUGUAUUUGUAGGAGUUCUUCUCCCGGGCAUCUAUGGUUGAUAUUCUUUACCUUUCAAUAUAUCAAAGCCAAGGAUUCUUUUGCAUUUCUCUAUGCUUUUUCUUUACCCAUUUAUGCUUUUUUCAGUUAUAUUUGAGAGUAGUAUUUCAUUUCUUUCAUGUGAAAUGUUGAACUUCAGUAGUGUGGAGAGUGGAACGUAAUAUCUUACCUUUUAUAUUAGUAAACUUGAUUUUAAGCAAUGUGUUUUUGAAGAUUUUAUGUUGUAGAAUGUUUUUUGUUCUUCACGCUACUGUUCUUAACUUUAUUUUCUCCUGUUAAUGUUCUCAAUGAUUAUCGAGCAUAUGCAUUACCAUGUGGCUUCAAGCGUGUCAGUGUGCUCUUGCUCAUAAUUUUUACUAUAUCUUGUUACUAAAAUUGCAAGUUAAUUGCAAAUUACUCAGAGCUUGGAUUUUCUCCUCCAGUUGGUUAAAGGAAAGCUACCGGGAAGGUAGAUUUGUUGGUAAGUUCGAAUGGCUUGCUAGUAUCAAAGCGUAAUGUAUUUUCUUCCACUUAUGUUUUUCAUCCUACCUAAUUUUUGUGAUUGAUUAAUUCCUUAUUGAUCUGUAGACGAGUUGCCUUACAUACUAAAUGAUGAUGACUACAUAUCGAAGUAUCGAGCCAGCCUAAAAGCUACAGUUCUCAGGGCAAAAGCAUGUCCUGGAGCUUUAUUUGAAGGGUAUAAUGUUUGCAUAUCAGCUCACGCUCAACCACCACCUAAAACUCUAUCCUUGAUACUCAAGUCAGCCGGUGGAAAUGUAAGUUCUCUGUUAUUGUACAAAUCUCGAGUACUAGGUUUGGUUCUCUAUAUUACAUAUACAACCACUAUAAUAUGGCUAUCCUCCCAUCUAAUGAAGAUGUGAAGUUCUCAACAAACAAGCACGUAUAUGAAUUCUAGACAUGGGUCAAUAAAUCAUAGACAUGGUGACGUGCCAUUUUUUUCUAAAAAAUAUAGGAUAGCGCUAGAACACAGUUUUAAUAUAUAUAAUUUAAAAAGUAUGUAUCAUAUUUAUAUAGAAAUUCAAAGUCAAUAAGUUUAUGUAUUUAUAUGCUUAAAAAUAAGCUUGUCCUUCACUCAAAACUUAUUCAAAGCCAAGAGUUUAAUAUGUGUGUGUGACCAAUCUUGACCUUUAUUACAUUGGAAUACUUGUUGUCUAACACAUCUACUGUACUAACUAGUGUUCAACACGUGUUCUCCGAGUGUUCCAUACAUAUUGUUUAUUGAUACACUAGCCAAACUUGAGUGUAUGUGCUUCUUAAGUCUUUAAUAUUUAUGUUUGUUUUGAUCCUAGGAAUUGAGCAUGUAAUGUAAAAAGUCUAUGCACAAGGGGUCAUAUGGCCAUCUCCGUGUUUCUUUAAUUAUCAAAUUUGUUCAAGUUUUUAAUUGUCUCUAUAUCGAAAUCUGGAGUUAUUUUUUGUGAUUUGGUGUACAAAUACAUACAUCCAUGUUUCUAAUUAUGAUUAGAUUGUUUUCUUGUCGCAACAUUUUAUUGUUUAGCUUGUCUUUGAUCUUGAACUUACUAAAAUAACAUAUUUUCAAAAUUAAUUACUGUAAUAGUUAAACAAAAGAUUCUUUCCCUUAGAACUUUUAAAGUUUGUCUAGUUACCUCUUAAACCUUUCAAUUGUUUAAUAGGUCUUUCAAUUUUAUGUUUUAAGUGUCUAUAAAUUUUGAUUUUUUUAUUUAAUAGAUAUAAAUCUGAAGAAAUGAAUAAAGUAGAUUUGUAAGUUUAAAAUAGUUUAAAAGUUGAGAAAUUAAAUUUGUAGUUGAAAAAGUUGGAGUAAAUAGUUUGUGUUAAGUCGGGUUGUGAUAUUUUAUUUAUUUAUUUUAAUAAUAGAAGAGAGGGAGACGAAAACUGCUAACUGAAGGGAGAAGAAGCGGUGGCUGACUUUGUAUAUUUCUCCUUUCUUUUCAAAUUGAGAAAAUUUCUUUGCAAUUCACUUUGAAAAGGAAAUGAAUAUUUCUCCCUCAGACUUAUCUCUCUCUUCUUUUCAAUUUAUUUUCAAUUUUUCUGUGUGCUUCUCACAGUGUAUGCAUAAUCUCUCUUUCAUUUUGAUCUUCAUCUCCAUUUCAAAUAUCUCCCACACAAAGAACAAAUAAAUGAGUAAAGUAACUGAGAGAGCAUUUUGUUUUUCCCUUCAUAUGGUUGGUUACUUUUUGUCAAUUAAAUGAAAAGUGAAGAAUAAGAUAAGAUUUUCUUUACCCAUUUGCCAUCAUCAUCAAAGCUAUUUACCUCAUUUUUGUUCACACACACACAACUUCAUUUUGUUGGAUUACACUCAUUUGAGAAAAUAGCAAAAUUUUAUUAGAAGAAUAGCAAACAUGAGCAUUUCACGUGUUUUGAAUUUUCAUUAACCCUAAAAUCCCCUCGCCUGCUUUUUAGUUAAACUGUAACUAAUUUUGAAAUAUGCAAAAUUUUAGCAUAAAUAUUGAUUUUCUCCUACAUUAUCUUAACACAUUUUUUUUCUCCAAAUAUUGGAUUUGUAUCAAAUCUUUAUUUUCAAAUUUUACUUUAUCCAAAUUUUCAUUUUUCAAAAUUUCAUCGUUAUUCUACUUUUAUUUUUUUAUUUCAUAUAUAUAUUUAUAAUAUUUAAUCUUAUUUUUUCUCUUUUCCUAUUCAUCUUCUUCCUUUCUCUUCCUCUUCAACCUACGGCCACACCACCAUCUUUUUCUUCCUUCUCUUUUCCUUCUCCAAUCAACUUCACCACCGUCUUCCACCUACACCGAACGUCAAGCAAAUUUUGUCCUAUCGUCGCAUCACCGUUAGCCCGAGUCACUCCGGUUCCGUCACGCCAUGUAUGUUUAGAUCUGAAUUGUUUGGUUAUUUGUUGCACCGAUCCGUCUCCGUUAGAAUUUGUUCUCCACAAUUUGGGUAAGUUAUGGAAUUUACAUAUAGAGUGAAUUGAAUGGAUUAAAUUGUUUGUGGAAGUGAUUGAUUUCUCUUCAAUUAUGUUUAGGUCGGUUCGUUGCACUUUAGUUUGAAAAAGAAGCUUAAGUAAGGUUAUAAGGUAAGGAAUUCUCUACUACUGGACUUGCCUAUAGUUUUGAAUUGUGCUGUCUGUAUAGUUACCUCCGAUUGAGUAAAGAUGUUGAAACGAUAUAUAUAUGUAUGGAUGUAGACUUGGUGUUGAAUGUAUGCUGUGAAUGACUAAAAAAAAAUAUAUACAUGGAUUGAUGUAGACUUGAUGUUGAAUGCAUAUUGUGAUUGUCUGGGAAUACAUAUAUAUAUGUAUGGAUGUAGACAGGACGACAAUUGUAGAUUGUGUUUGUAUGGAAUGUGGAUGUGAACUUGUGAUUGUCGUUUAGAUUGGGUGUAGGUUAUACUAAAGUAUGGUUGCGUACUGAUGAAUUGAGGGGUGUUAUGACUAUAUAGUUUGAUUGACUGAUGUAUUGAUAUGUUACUGGCGGACAUUGGGCUAAAGUGAGAUAGGUUGACUAUUAGGGUGUUAAGUGAAAGGAUUAUAUGUUGAAGUAGCUGGAUUGUACUAUGAAUUAGUGUUAAGAUGUUUAGAAUGGAUUGAGGGGAAAAUUGUUAGAUUUCUAUUGGGUAGUUACCUUGCAGGUGUCCUACGGGAUCACCACCUGAUAUGUUCAUCCUUCGAUAGCACUAGACUGAUAUGUGCAUCCUUCGGGAGCAUUAGACUAAUAUGUGUUUCUGCGAAACACUAGACUGAUUUAUGCGUCCUUUGAGGCGUUAGACUGAUUAUGUGUAUCCUAUGGGAUCACAAGACUGUGACUGUGCAGGGUACCCCAAUAGGAAGUUAACAGUUUCUUUUUCCCCUAACGGGACCAAUAGCGGGUCUCUUAUUGGGUAUGUUUAUACUCAUCCUUUCAUGUUUAACUAUUUCAGGCAAAGGUAACAAAUGAGGUAGACCGACGAGGGACAAGAAGGAGACGUGAUUGCCAUAAGGGAAGGUCCUUCAAAUGCUUCCGCUUUAUGUUUCUUGUUUUUCCUUUGUACAUGAGGUUGUUUAAAAAUUUUGUGAUGGAACUGAGUUUACAAACUGUUGUUUUGUGAAUAGUACUUUUAAAGUUUUGGUUAUUUGAAAUAGGGCCCAAACUUAAGUUUGUUUUCUUUGAUCGUAUGAUUUCAAGUGAAUUUUACUAUAUUUUGUGUCAAUCAAGGUCUCUUUGUCAAAAUUAAUGACUUCAACUUAGUUAGAAAAGUUGGGUCGUUACAACAAAUUUUAAGUAUUAAUGUAAGAAUUAUGUACUUCAUUAUAAAGGUCGAUAGUUUAAAGUUUUUGACGAUAAUUUACAUGGAAUUACAGGAUCAGUUACCACUAUCAAUAGAAUCACUUACAAAUAUUAACACGAUCGUGUACCGAUAACAAGACGAUUGUUUACACUAUUCAAUACGAUCACCAAUAUCAUAUGAUCGUGUACCCAUGUCAACACGAUAAUUUAUUUUAAUCAAUAUUAUCAUUUACCGUUGUUAAAUGGUCGUUUAUCACGGUUAAUAGGAUCGUUUAAUGUAUAUUAUUUCAUUGCACGAUCGUUUACUUAUUCUUGCAUUGUGUUUAGUAUUAUCAUUUUGUACAUUUUAUUCUUUUAUUCAGUAAUAAAUGUAUAUCUAUGUCUAUCUAUUUCUUUCUAUCACAAUUAAAUACUUAAUUUUAUUUUUUUUUUUUACAGAUUAUAAUGUCUUUUCCUAUUGUUGUUUUUUGGAGGUCAAUGGAAUGGAUGUAAUAUUUAUGAGAAUUACUUAGUUGCUGAAAUUUUGGUAGGUGUCCGAGUCAGCUUUAAUUCUCUAGUUGAUUUAAUAUGUGAACAGAUUCAAUUGGAUGGAUAAGUAGAAUUAUCUGUUUUACUUGAUUUUGGUAAAAGCAAGGUCCAACUGUGGUGCCAGUAAAGAAAGACAAUGAUGUGGCUUGGUAUUUAUCUUUUGCUAAAGAUGCAACUAAUAUACAUCCAUUAGUUGCUCAUGUAACUGUUGAUUUUUUUAGAAGGUCUUCUUCUUCUUAGAGAACUACCUGUAGCUACCAUGCUUAGUUCAAUUAGAGAUGUAUUGCAAAAGUGGUUUGAUGAAAGAAGUAAAGCUACUUUUACAAUGAAGAGUUGUUUGACUUCUUGGGCUGAGAACGUGUUGCAUUUAGAAUAACAUGAAAAGUCAAGAAUUUUAUUGGUAAGGUUUUUUUUUUUUUUUUUAAUGUUUGUAUCUCAGGUAGAUAUAAAUAGACUGCUAUUUUUGUCCAUCCGAUAGAGAAAUAUAACAAUUUAUGUGUGCUUGUUUCAGAUAGAUAGAGAUAGAUAGCUAUCAAUGUCUAUUUGUCUCUAUUUGUGCAUGCUUUUUUUUUUAAUUUUUCUAUAUUUGUUUUAUGUAUUAGGUUGAUCCAAUUAGUAUGACUGAAUAGAAAGUAAUGGAUGAUACAAAAUGAUAAUGUGAUUUAUUUAUAUUGGUUCUAAUUUGAAAUAUUCAAAUUUACUUUGGAAAUUAGUAUAAUUAGUAUAAUAUAUAAUGAUACAUUAUAAUAUAAAGUUUAUAUGUUAAUGAAACUUUAUUAUAUAAAUUUAAUUUUAGAUAAAGUUCAAAAUUAAUUUAUGAGAGAUAAAAUAUUUGAAUGAGUUCAAAUAUUAAUUUAAUGUGGAUUUGUUUCAUAUUAAAACUAUUAAUUAUAAUAAAAGUUAUAUUUGAAUAUGAUUCAAAUUUAACUUAGUUAAAUAUAAAUAUUAAUUAUUAAAAUUGAAGAUUAAAAUAGUGUAUAUUAUUUAAUUAAAUUGAUUUAAUUAAAUUAAUAUAAAACUAUAAGGUAUUGGAGAGAUAUUCAUUCAAUAAGAUUUAAAUGAAAUAUUAAUUAAAUAUGAUUUAAUUAAUUAUUAACUAAUUGAUUAAUGGUUAAUUAGUUAGUUGAUUUGAAACUUCUAUUAAUUUAAUAUUUUUAAGUUAAUAGAAUCCUAUGAUUUUCUCCUACCCCGUCUCCUACUCAAUGAAAGAAAGAGAGUUAUAAAUAUGAAGAAGAAAAACAACUUUUCUUAACCAAAAUAAAAUCGAUGAUUUUCUUUUCUGCAAAAUAGAUUGUAACGACCUAAUUUUUCGAAUUAAGCUGAAGUUAUUACUUUAAGACUAGAUUCGUCCUUUAACCAUAAGACUUUAUAAUUUAAAAAAAUAUAUCUUUUAACAACAUUAAAGAGUUUUUAUUCAGGCUCUAUUUCAAAUAAAACUUUGAAAGUGUAAAAGUAUCGAUAAUAAAGAAAGUUCAAGAACAUAAAAGUCGUUCAAUCAUGAAACCCAAAACAGUCUCAGUUACUAAAGAAAACCAAAAUAAAAAAAAUAUAAAGUAUAAGCAAUUUGAAGGACAUUUCCCUAUGGCAGUUUCGCGGAAAAAGAUUAAACAUAAAAGGGUGAGUAUAAACAUACCCAGUAAGAGACUCACUACUGAUCCUGUUAGAAGAAAAAUAAAAUUGUUAACUUCCUAUUGGAGGUGCCCUGCACUUUAAAAGUCUUGUGAUCAUGUAGAAAUACACAUAAUCAGUCCAAUGCCCUAAAGGACACAAAUAUUAGUCUAGUGCUCUUCAGAAAGCACAUGUAAGUCUAGUGCUUUCGAAGAAUGCACAUGUCAGUCUAUUGCUCUCGAAGAAUGCACAUGUCAUUCUAGUGCUCUCGAAGAAUGCACAACAGGUGGUGAUUCCGUAGGACACCUGCAAGGCACACUACCCAAUCGACAAAGCUAACAAUUUUCCCUUAGUCCGUUAUAAACAUUUAAUCAAUCCAUUCCUAGUAUAGUCAAACUAUUUCAUCAUUGUAAAGCCCCAAAGGUAAAAAUAUAUAUACAUAUACAUUUUUUUAUUUUUUAUAUAUUUUUAUUUAAUUUAAAUAAAAAGAAAAGAAAAAGAAAAUUCUUUAUUAUAUAUAUUCUUUUCUUUCUUUUUUCUUUUUCUUUUCUUUUUCUUUUCUUUUCUCUCUUCUCCUUCCUCCCCGUGCGCCCUUCCCCUUCUCUCCGUUCGCAGCCCAGCAACCGCCGCCGCAGCCCAGCAACCGCCACCCCGAGACUUCUCUUCUUCCGUUUCUCUUUCUCUUUUCUUCUUCCGCCCAGCGCGCGACCGACCCCCAUCCGUUCGCAGCAACCGUCGACCUCCAUUCUUCUUCUCCUUCUGUUCGCAGCAAGCCGCCGACCAUCUCCCGUCGGCCAUCUCCUUCUUCUCUUCUCCUCUCCGCUUCGUCCAAACCCAGCCUCACCGCCGCGUCUCCCCUACUGAAGCCGAACGCCCGAUCUGCCGUCUCCAUCGCCGGUUCUGUCUCCGUCGAAGCCACGGUUCUGCAAUCGUCUCCGCCGGUUCUGUCUCCGUCGACCACAACCGCCACUCCACCUGCUAUCAACGUCGGCCGACUAGUUGCUGUAACCGUUCAGAUUUGCUGUAACCGUUCAGAUUUGCUGUAACCAUUCAGAUUCGCGUCUGUUCGCGACGGUCUCCAUCCGUGAAGCCCAGCCGCCACGUUCCCUUUGGCCGACCUGACCGACCCACACUUAGGAUUUUUGCUGCGAGUUCGACAUUCGUGCGUUGAGGUGUUGGGAGUAACGUUAGGCUCCCUUACAUUCACAACCCGUUUGUGAAUUGUUGAAGGUUCAGUUCGCCAAUAUAUCGGUGAGUUGGAACUUACGUUGAGGAAAGUAAGUGACAUAUGUAUCGUGAAAGUAAUUGAAUUUUGUAUUGUUAUGCUUAGGAUUGUUUCGAGGACGUUAGUUGAUUAAGGAGCUUCCCUAACUUUGAGGUAAGGGAUUUUCUACUGGACUCACUUAUGACUGUGAAUUGUAUGUGUUAAAUGUAUACUGUGGAUUGACUGAAAAUAUAUAUGAAUGCAUAUGAAUUGAAGUAGACUUGACGUCGAAUGUAUAUCGUGAUUGUCAUGGAAUAUAUAUAUAAGUGUGUGUAUGUGGACAGGACGAAGAUUGUAGAUUGUGUUUGUAUGAGAUGCAGAUGUGAACUUGUGAUUUUCGUUUAGAUUGGGUGUACGUUACGUUAAAGUAUGACUGUGUGCUGAUGAACUGAGGGGUGUGUUGACUGUAUAGUUUGAUUGACUGAUGUAUUAGCAUAUUAUUGACAGACAUAUGACUGAAGUAAAAUAAGUUGACUGUUAGGACGUUGAAAGAAAGAACUUUGUGUUUUGAAGUAAUUGAAAGAUGGAUUGAAUGGAAUGAGGGGAAAAUUGUUAGAUUGUAUUGGGAUGUGUACCUUGUAGGUGUCCCACGGGAUCACCAAUUUAUUGUGCACCUUCGGGAGCAUUAGACUGAUAUGUGUUUCUGCAGAACACUAGACUGAUAUGUACGUCCCUCGGGCGUUAGACUGAGAUGUGUAUCCUACGGGAUCACAAGACUGCGACUGUACAGGGUGUCCCAAUAGAACGUUAACAAUUUAUUUUCCCCUGACGGGACCAGUAGAGGGUCUCUUACUGAGUAUUUAAAUACUCACCCUUCUUAUGUUUAAUUUUCAGGCAAAGGUAAUAAAAGCGGCAAACCGGCGAGGGGCAGGAAGGAAGCGUGACUGCCAUAGGAAAUAUGUUGUUUGCUUCCGCUUAUGGGUUCUUGUGAGGUUUAAGAUGAAUUGAAAGUUUGCUUACAAACGUUUAUUGUAAAUAGUAUUGUUUUUAUGUUUUCUUAAAUGUUUGAAAUUCAGGCCUGACUUAAAGAUGUUUUUAAAUUAGCUUACGUUUUGUUUUAUAUUAAUCAAAGUCUUUUAUUUGUAAAAAAAAUUAACGACCUCGACUUACUUAGAAAAGUUGGGUCGUUACAAUCAUAUCAUCAAUCCAACUUAACACACUUACGUUCAAUCUAUUCAAUCUAUCACAAAAUCAGUUGAUACUAUAACAACACACCAGACAGUCAAGAUAUAUAUAUAUACAUAACACCUUUCUCAGUUUACAAAUACAUUAUCCAUCGUAUCUACUUCUAUACUAGUCUGGCAUAAUAUACAUUUGUCAUCAUAUCUACUUCUACAUAUUUGGUAAACCAUACUAAGUCCAGAGAUCCAAACAGUCAACACAUUUCAAAACUUUCAAAGAGUCCAGUAAUAGAAACCCCUUACUUUAAUGUUACUUAAAUUUCUCGAACGAAGGAAACCUAAUACUAAGAAUAUGGAACUCAAUUACUUUCACAAUACUUUCUUUCAUUUAAUUUCCUCAAUGUAAAUUCUAGCUUAUCAAAGUAUUGGCGAAUCGAACUCCAACAAAUCUACAAUUUAGUUGUGAAUCCAAAGAACUCAAACGCUAACUUCAAGAAUCAAUUAACAAUUUAACUAAUUAUCCAAAACUACAACCCAAGGAUAAUUACAAUGUAAAACCACCACACUCACCAAUACAACUUACCACAAAAAUCCCAAAAAUUAGAGUAAAAUGGGGGCAACAACUUCGAAUAACUGGAAUCGACGCGUGUAAUAGAUCAGAUCUAAUCAACAAACGAAAAACAAACUUCAGCUUACAACCCAUGGCUGGAAGGUGAAGAGCCGCGCGACGGCACUUCAACAGACGUGACGGGCUCAGGUCUGGUCGACGGCUGCUUCAACUAAGUAACAACGCCGGUGAGAUGAUAGGUCAAUCGGUGACGCUCCUCGUCACCUGGAGCAGAAUGUGGUGGCGCGAACGUCGAAGGAGCUACGCGCGAAUGAAUCACAGCUUGGCUGGAAAACAGAGGUGAGACGCGAUGCCGAGAGUUCGAACUCACGACGAACGGUGCUUCGGCUUCAACGGAGACGAAGGGAUCGGUGACGGCGUGGCCGGCUGACGUCCAAGAGUAAUAUAAAAUGGCUAAGGGAGGCAGGCGGCGGUGGGCACGGGGAAGAGGAAGAGUGAAGGAGAAAGAGAUGGGGUUGCACGUGAAUCAAUAAAGAAUUGAUAUUUUAAAUUAAUAAUAACAUUAAUUCUAUUAUUAUUAUUUAACCUUUAGUAUUAGUAUAUUUUUUCAUAAAAGCCCCCUUCACUUCCUGCUAAAUCCACACCACAACCAAAUUCCUUAAAAUCUUAAUAAAAUUUUAAAAAUUUAGCUUGAGAGAAAUACCUUGAUAUUGGGGGUGUUACAUAGUUUCUCUCUAAAUUUUUUUUUCAUUCCAAUUGUUUUCCACAAACCAAUCUCAUCUUCGAAGAUAGGAAGGUCUCCAACGGGUGGUGUCCCAAUUCGGUGGAUUAUAGAUUCAAAGACGUCAACAAGAGUCAGUUCUAUGUAUCUUUUAAUUUAAAAGCAUAUUUAGUUCUUUAUUUAGAACUUUGAUUCUAAAUAUUGUCAAUGUACUGGUAUUUUGGAAUUUUCAAAUUAAAAUUGAUGAAUGGUUUUGUAAAAUCUUUCACUGCCAAGAGCUUUUAUCCCUUUAGGGCACACAUACCAAUUAAACUAAUGCAAGACCUUUGACAGUAGUUAAUGGUAGCAUCUCACAAAGUGGAAGUGGUUGGCUUACCAACGGAAGAUUUUCAAUCAUUUCUAGCAAUCCCUUUUCUGUUUGAGUAUGACCUUCCAUAUUUUCUGCUAUAUUACUUAUAGUUAAUAUCAAAUGUGCAUCUCUGCCAUAUAUGCUAAUAUCACUGCCUGACUACUCUUGAUGUUGAGGCGUUGUUCAUUUUUGUUCCCUACACAGAAAAGAAAAAAAAUUGUUGUUUAUUUAUAAUCUAAGCAAUUUUAAACAAUAUAAAGCGGUAACUAAUGAAUUAAACACUAACUGUUGAGUUUCUACAGUAGAUUCUUGAAGAUGUGACUCUUGAACAAAUGGAUUCUCAUGGAUGAUCACAUGUUUGUUAUUUUGAUGGUCAUCAUUCUUGUCCAGAUUGUGAUGACUAGAAUCAUCACGAAGAUCAUCAUACAUGUUGUUAAUAUCAUCAAACAAUUGAUUCUGGUUCUAGUAUAGAAAGAAAAAAGGAUAAUAAAAAAAAUAGUUACAAAAUGAUCGUGUAUCCUUAAGCAAACAAUCGUGUAGAAUAUCUAAACGGUUGUUUUACCAAGGGUGAUCGAUAUUUCAGAUGGGAUAUGCGAUCGUUCAUAUGUGAUAUGCGAUCGUGUAAAGAUAUAUCAAACCUUUGUUCUGUCAGAAGUCGUGCUAAGAAGAGUUGAAAGCUUGUAAUAAGAUCCAUCAAAAACUGAAAGAUUUUACAUCAACACGUUCCUGACACAGUACUGCAGUAAAUCAUGAGCAUCAAAUUACGUGAGAUACAUGUUAGAAAAUAUCUAACUGCUCAGUUAAUUUUUUAUGCGACAUCAAAUCACCUUUUUUCAAGCUUAAGGAAGGAAAUGUCGGCACUAUAUAUGUCAGAGUUGUGCAUUGCAAUGGAAGUGCCAACACGAGGUGAUACAUGUGUGUCUUUCUGGGAUGUAAAUGCCACUCCCCCGACUAGGACCAGCAUAGUCUUAGGGAGAAAGCAUGCUAGGAAUUGGAGUUGUGUCCUCAAUUUCUCCAAUUUUACGAACAAAAAACAAGUCGAAUAUGUAGAUGCACACUCUUUGUCAUAAGAGAUAUAACAACGUUUUAUGGGUCAUUUUGAAAAAUGGCAAAACUACUUUUUCUUUUAAAUUUUAACAAAUAGAAUUUUUUGCACGUGUGCAUGAUAUUUUAUAAAAUACCAAAAUAUUCACCUUCUCAAACAGUAAUUAUUUCGUUUCUGCGUUGUAAUUAAUUUAUGUUAUGAAUUUAUUAGCUUUUAAUUAUUUUUUACCUGAAAAGAUACAUCCUUUUUUCUUAAUAUCUCGGGACUCAACUAAUUGAUUCAAGAUUUUAAUUUUAUUUGAAUCUUACUAAUUUCAAAAAUAACCUAAUUAAAUUUCAAUUUCAAAAUAACAAAAUUAUUAUUUUUCGAAAUUUGAGAAUCUCAACGAUAGAUUUGUAUCAAAAUAACUUUUAAUUGAAUUUCAAAAUUAAAAAAAUCAACUUGUACACUAUUUUUCUCAAAAUAACAUUAAUGACUUGAAUAUCAAGAUAAUUGAAUUAUUAUUUUAAAAUUGGGAGAAAUUUUACAUUAACAAAUAUCAACUUGUUCGCACACAAGCACACGCACACGCACGCGCACAUAUGCACACACGCACAAGGAUGUGUAAAUUAAUUAAAGUUAAAAAACAAAUACAUUAAUUAUGUUUAGAAAGAGUUUUAAACCAUGUUCAUUUGACUUAAUAACAUUGAUUAAUUAUAAUUUCUAUCAAUAUUGGCUUAAAACUGUCAUUCGUGUAAUUAUUUCAAUAUAAUGCGGUCUUAUCCAAUUUUACCAACAAAAAACAAAUCGAAUAUGGAUCAGUAGAUCUACACUCUUUGUCAUAAGAGACAUAACAACGUUUUUUAGGGGUCAUUUUGAAAAAUGACAAAACUACUUUUUCCUUUGAAUUUUAGCAACUAGCAUUUUUUGCACGUGCAUGGUAUUUUUAAAAUAAAAUACCAAAUAUCAACAUUCUUCAACUGUAAUUAUUUCGUUUCUACAUUGUAAUUAAUUUAUGUUAUGCAUUUAUCAACUUUUAAUUAUCUUUUACUUGAAAUAGAUAUAUUAACUCAUAUCAUAAUAUUUUUCUUAAUAAUCUCGAGACUCAACUAAUUAAUUCAACAUAUUAAUAACUUUAUUCAAUCAUACUAAUUUCAAAAUAACCUAAUUGAAUUUGAAUUUCAAAAUAACAAAAUUGAAUUUUCAAAAUAACAAAAUUAUUAUUUUCCGAAAUUGAGAGUCUCAACAAUAGAUUUUUGUAUUAAAAUAACCUUAAUUGAAUUUCAAAAUUAAAAAAUAUCAACCUGUUCACUAUCUUUAUCUCAAAAUAACAUUAAUGCCUUGAAUAUCAUGAUAAUUAAAUUAUUAUUUUAAAAUUGAAGAAACUCAACAUUAAAAAAUAUUAACUUGUUCGCACACAAGCAUAGAAGCACUGCGCGCACACGUACACAUGCACACUUACACACACGCGUGCACACGCACACCUACACAUAGACACCACAGACGCACGAACGCACGCACACACACAUGCACACGCGAACGCAUGCACACACACACAUCUAUCCACACGCGCACAAGCACACACACAUGCACAAACGCACACACGUGUACGCACAAACGCACACACGUAAACACAUACGCACACGCGCACAAACACGCACGCGCGAGCACACCCACACACCCAAGCACACACGCAAUAGCCCGUGCACACACACGCACGCACAAACACAUACAAACAUGCACACACCACACACACAUGCACACGGACACUCGCACGAACACACGCACAUACACAUACGCACACCUACCUACACGCGCACACGUACACAAGCACAUAUGCAUAAAGAUGUAUAAAUGAGUUAAAAUUAAAAAACAACUACAUUAAUUGUGUUUAGAAGGACUUUUAAACCAUGUUCAUUGACUUAAUAACAUUAAUUAAACUAUAAUUUCUACCAAUAUUGGCUUAAAAGUGUCAUUCGUGUAAUUAUUUCAAUAUAAUGCGAUUUUAUCCAAUUCUAUUAGCAACAAACAUGUCGAAUAUGAACCAGUAGAUAUACACUCUGUCAUAAGAGAUAUAGCAACAUUUUUAUGGGUUAUUUUGAAAAAUGGCAAAACUAUUUUUUGUUAAUUUUAGCAAAUAACAUUUUUUGCACGUGCAUAAUAUUUUAUAAAAUACCAAAAUAUUCACAUUCUCCAACUAAAAUUAUCUUGUUUCUAUAUUGUAAUUAAUUUAUAUUAUGCAUUUAUCAGCUUUUAAUUAUUUUUUACCUGAAAAAGAUACAUAAACUCAUAUCAUACUUUUUUCUUAAUAUCUUGGGACUCAACUAAUGGAUUCAAGACUUCAACUUUAUUUAAUCUUACUAAUUUCAAAAUAACCUAAUUGAAUUUGAAUUUCAAAAUAACCUAAUUGAAUUUGAAUUUCAAAAUAACCAAAUUGAAUUUCAAUAUAACAAAGUUAUUAUUUUUCAGAAUAUGAUAAUCUCAGCAAUAGAUUUUGUAUCAAAAUAACUUUAACUGAAUUUCAAAAUUAAAAAAUAUCAACUUAUUCACUAUCUUUAUCUCACAAUAAUAUUAAUGGCUUGAAUAUCAAGAUAAUUAAAUUAUUGUUUUAAAAUUGGGAGAAACUCAACAUUAAAAAAUAUCAACUUAUUCACACACAAUCACACGUGCACACACAUACAUACACUUGCACGCGCGUGCACCCAUACACGCACACACACACGAACAUAGGCACACACACACAAACACACACAUGCACACGCAUGCACACAAAUGCACACGCAAACACGCACACACCUACUCACGUACACAUGUAUGUGCGCAUACACACACCAAGCACACGUGGACAUGCAACACACACGCGCACACACGACGCCCACUGAUGGUUCAAUUUCAUCUAUAGUUCCUAUUUUUGCUGACAGUUUAUUUUGCCAUCGAUAGAGGAUCUUCCGACAGAUCUACCUGACGGUGUGUGUUGACAGCUUAAUUUCGUUGGCAAAAGAAAAGUUGAUUAGUUUUUGAAGAUUUACUGACGAUAUUUGUCAUCGAGAAAGGGUAAAUUUCUUGUAGUGCAUGUACGUCAAACAUAUCGAAUUUGUUAAGUGUACCAAUGAAGUAUAACAAGUUUAUUAGUGGUGUAUCAAGUGUAUCAAAUUAUAAGUGAAGUCUUUUAAGUGUAUCAAACUAAUCAAGUGUAUCAAGGUCUCAGGGGUAUCAAGUGUAUCAAGAAGAAUCAAGUGUAACGAGAAGUAUUAUGUGGAACGAGAAGUAUUAUGUGUAUGAAGAUGUUUCAAGUGUGUAUCAAAAAGUAUCGAGUGUAUCAAUGAGUACCGAGUGCAUGAAUUGUAUCUAUCAAAUGUAUCAAGUGUAACAGUAAGAAGUAUCAAGUGUAUCAAGGGGGUAUUAGGUGUAUCAGACGUGUAUAAGGUGUAUCAAAUGUACAUCAAUAACGAGGGCAUUUGUGACAUUUUACCUCUUGAUGUGUGAGUUGGUCUUUGUUUUUGUCAUUUUCUCAAAUAAUAAAGUAUGUGUUCUAUGGACUUAAUUAUUAUAACUAUAUUUUCCAUUUUCGCAAGUGUCCCAUAAUUUUAAUACAUGUAUAUGUGACAUAAUCUAAUCAAACUAACUCAUAAAUGGACUUAAUGUAUCAAGAGGUAUUAGGUGUAUCAGACGUGUAUAAGGUGUAUCAAAUGUACAUCAAUAACGAGAGGCAUUUGUGACAUUUUACCUCUUGAUGUGUGAGUUGGUGUAACGCCCCAAACUCGAAGGUAUUUUAUUUUAAGAGAUUUUUUCGAUUUGUACAAGAUUUAUUGUUUUGAAGAAAAUAUGUUGAAGGGCGGGAAAGAAGAUUUGAAAAUGUGAUAAUAUAAUUAUAUAUAUAUUUAUUUAUAUUUUUAGUUUUAUUAUUUAGUUUAAAUAAAAGAAAGAAAAGAAAUUUUAUUAUAUAUAUAUUUAUUUAUAUUUUAGUUUUAUUUUUAUUAUUUAAAUAAAAAUAGAAAAAUGAAAAUUUUCCUUCCUUCUUCCUCCCGUGCGUCCUCCAUCCCUUUCUCCUUCCCGUACCCUAGCAGCCGCACAUCCCUCUCUUCUCCGUUCACACCAGUCGGCCACACAAGCUGCCGGUCGUUUCUUCUUCUUCUUUCCGAUCGUCUUCCUUUUCUCCUUCGGAUCGAAACCGCCGCGCCCAUUCGCUCACAACCGUCGUGCCUCUCCGCUCACAACCGUCGUGCCUCUCCGCUCACAACCGUCGUGCCUCCCUCGGAAAGCAAAUCGUCGUCCAAAUCUGCAUCGCCGAGCCGUCUAGGUCCUCGCCGUCGCAUGUGCUUCACCCUUGCCGUUCGCCGUAACCCAGAUCCGUCGCUGCAAUCGUCGGUCGGUUCAUUAAGCAAGCCGUACGCGUCACUCUGCAGCAGUCGUCCAGAUCUGCGUCGCCGUGCCAUUCUUUCCUCUCCGUUCGUGAAACCUGCUGCGCAAUCUCUGUCUCCGUCGAAGCCAAGCCCACCGCCGCCCGUUCCUUUCUUCUCCGUUUCUACACUGUCGCGCGAUUCUCCGACCGCGUCUGUCUUCACCUCCAUAAAGCCGUCGACGCAUACAUCUCGUGAAGUCAUACACGGAUCCAAGCCGAUCUCUUCCUAAAUUACGUGUCCCUUAUCAUUGGGCUCAUAUUUGGAUAAGAACAAGUUAUGGUUUUUGUUGGUUUCUUGGUUUUUGUUGAAUGCUGCCAUUGGAUUUAAUUGUUGCGAAAUGCUUAAUUCUUGAAGGUACACCUUGAUUCAGUGAGCGAAUCCUUGAUUUUCCAAAAGGUUGAAGUGGACUUGAUUUUCCACUUCUUAGGUAAGUUGUGGAAUUUACAUAUGGGGUAAUUUGAAUGGUUGAAACUAUUUAGAAAGAUGUUGAUUUUAUGAUUGAUUAUGUUUAGGAUUUGAUUCAUUGGAUUUAGUAGAUUGAAGAACUUGCAUAAAAGUGAGGUAAGGGAUUUUAUUUUCUACUGGACUCACCUAUGCUUUUGAAUUGUAAUGUUAGUCACCUCUGAUUGAGUAAAUGUGUUGAGACAAUAUAUAUAUACGUAUGGAUGUAGGUUCGGUGUUGAAUGUAUACUGUGGAUGACUGAAAAUAUAUAUAUACACAUGGAUUGAAGUAGACUUGAUGUUGAAUGCAUAUUGUGAUUGUCUUGGAAUAUAUAUAUAUGUGUGGAUGUAGACAGGACGACAAUUGUAGAUUGUGUUUGUAUGAGAUGCGGAUGUGAACUUGUGAUUGUCGUUUAGACUGGGUGUACGUUAUACUAAAGUAUGACUGUGUGCUGGUGAACUGAGAGGCGUUAUGACUAUAUAGUUUGAUUGACUGACGUAUUAGUAUGUUACUGACAGACAUUGGGCUAAAGUGAGAUAAGUUGACUGUUAGAACGUUGAGUGAAAGAACUUUAUAUUUUGAAGUAACUGAAAGAUGGUACGAAUGGAUUGAGGGGAAAAAUUGUUAGCUUUUAUUGGGAUGUUGCUUUGUAGGUGUCCCACGGGAUCACCAAUUAUUCUGCACCUUCGGGAGCAUUAGACUGAUAUGUGUUUCUGCAGAACACUACACUGAAAUGUACGUCCCUCGAGGCGUUAGACUGAAAUGUGCAUCCUACGGGAUCACAAGACUGCGACUGUACAGGGUGUCCCAAUAGAAUGUUAACAAUUUAUUUUUCCCUGACGGGACCAGUAGAGGGUCUCUUACUGGGUAUUUUUAUACUCACCCUUCUUAUGUUUAAUUUUCAGGCAAAGGUAAUAAAGGCGGCAAACCGGCGAGGGGCAGGAAGGAAGCGUGAUUGCCAUAGGAAAUGUGUUAUUUUGCUUCCGCUUAUUGUUUUUUUUUAGGUUUAAGACGUUGUAUUGAAACUUAGCUUACAAACUUUUAUUUGUAAAUAGUACUUUUUUUAAGUUUUUGGAAUAUUUGAAAAUCAGGCCUGACUUAAAGUUGUUUUUCAAUUGGCUUACAUUUCAUUUUGUAUCAACCAAAGUCUUUUGUCAAAAAUUAACGACCUCGACUUACCUAGAAAAGUUGGGUCGUUACAGUUGGUAUCAGAGCCUAAGUUUUAGGUUCUGUAGACUGACUUACGAUGUAAGUCUAUGUUUUAUGUCCCUAUGGCUAACGCGACCCUUCGUCUCUCGUCAGGUAUGCUUUAUGCUUAUAUGUAUGGUUUAUUUGCAUGAGUUUGCCUAAAUUAAACUAGAUUGCAUGACGAUAAAGACUUCUUAUGCUUAUGAUUAAGACUUUUUAAAGAGUGUUGUUGGUGGAUAAUAGGAAUUAUGCCGCCAAAGAGAGGUGUACGUAGAGGAGGUCGUAGAGGCGGGGUAGAGGAGCAGGUCGUAAUCAACCUACUGAGGGUCAAGCUGAAUAGCGAAUUCCUACUGCACCCGUGACUCAUGUUGAGUUUGCUGCACUGUCUGCUCACAUGGAGCAGAGGUUCACGGAGCUUAUGACGGCUAUAGCUAGAACCAGCAGGCACCUGCAGUUCCACCUGCACCUGUGGUUCCCCCUGUACCAGCAGCUCCACCUGCACCAGCAGCCCCUCCUGCGCAAGGAUUGGCUGCACAACAGCCGCAGACAUUACCGAACCAACUUUCUGCUGAGGCGAAACAUUUGAGGGACUUUAGGAAAUAUGACCCUCAGACGUUUGAUGGGUCACUGGAGGAUCCUACUAAAGCUGAGUUGUGGUUGUCCUCUGUGGAAACCAUAUUUAAUUACAUGAGAUGUCCAGAGGAGCAUAGAGUUCAGUGUGCUGCUUUUCUUCUGAGGGACAGAGGUAUUAUCUGGUGGAGAACUACGAUGCGUAUGCUAGGUGGAGAUGUGAGACAGAUUACCUGGGAUCAGUUUAAAGACUGCUUCUAUACCAAGUUUUUCUCGGCUAACCUUAGAGACGCCAAAAGCCAGGAAUUCUUGGAAUUGAAGCAAGGACAUAUGACAGUCGAGGAGUACGACCAGGAGUUUGAUAUGCUGUCGCGUUUUGCCCCUGAACUUGUUGGUAAUGAGCAGGCUAGAGCUGAUAGGUUCGUCAAAGGAUUGAGAGAUGAGAUUAGAGGCUUUGUGCGAGCACUAAAGCCCACUACCCAGGCUGAAGCGCUGCGCCUGGCAGUGGAUAUGAGCAUUGGGAAGGAUGAAAUUCGGGCAAGGAGUUUUGAUAAGGGAUCGUCGUCUGGUCAAAAGAGGAAAGCAGAGCAGAGAACUGUGGGAAUUCCUCAGAGGAACUUGAGAUUAGGCGAUCCUUUUUGCAGUUUCCAGCAGAGUUCUGGCGGGGCAGGAGACACUACUCGAGAGAAGCCACUAUGCAAUACGUGUGGGAAACACCACCUGGGUCGUUGUUUGAUGGGAACGAGAGUCUGUUAUAAGUGCAAGCAAGAGGGACACAUGGCUGAUCGAUGUCCCUUGAGAUCUACUGGGGCUGGACAGAGCAGUCAGGGAGCGAAACCUCCACAGCGGGGUACAAUCUUUGCCACUAAUAGAUCAUAAGCAGAGAAGGCCUGCACAGUGGUGACAGGUACAUUACCAGUGUUAGGGCAUUUUGCCUUGACCUUGUUUGACUCGGGGUCUUCUCAUUCAUUUAUUUCAUCGCUUUUUGUGACGCAUGCAUGCUUAGAGGUGGAACCCUUAGAUUAUGUUUUGUCAGUGUCUACACCGUCUGGAGAAAUUAUGUUGUCUAAGGAAAAGAUUAAAGCAUGUGAAAUUGAGAUAGCUGGUCGUGUGCUGGACGUAACCUUGUUGGUAUUAGAUAUGCGUGACUUUGAUGUAAUUUUAGGUAUGGAUUGGCUAGCUACUAAUCAUGCUAGUAUUGAUUGCUCUCGUAAAGAGGUUGUGUUCAGUCCCCCUACCGAAUCUAGCUUUAAAUUCAAGGGGUAGGAACAGUAGUACUGCCUAAAGUAAUCUCAGCUAUGAAAGCUAGUAAACUGCUCAACCAGGGUACCUGGAGUAUUUUGGCAAGUGUGGUGGAUACUAGGGAAGAUGAGACUUCCUUAACUUCAGAACCUGUGGUAAGAGAAUACCCAGAUGUGUUUCCAGAAGAUCUUCCAGGACUACCGCCACAUAGAGAGAUUGAUUUUGCCAUUGAGUUGGAGCCAGACACUACUCCCAUUUCUAGAGCCCCUUAUAGGAUGGCUCCUGUCGAGUUGAAAUAACUGAAGGUACAGUUACAGGAGUUGCUUGACAAAGGCUUUAUUCGACCUAGUGUGUCGCCUUGGGGUGCACCAGUAUUGUUUGUGAAGAAGAAGGAUGGGUCGAUGCGUCUUUGCAUUGACUAUAGAGAGUUGAAUAAAGUAACAAUCAAGAACAGAUAUCCUUUACCUAGAAUCGAUGAUUUGUUCGAUCAGUUACAGGGAGCCACGGUGUUCUCUAAGAUUGACUUACGGUCAGGUUAUCACCAGUUGAGGAUUAGAGACCGUGAUAUUCCUAAGACUGCUUUUCGUUCGAGGUACGGACAUUAUGAAUUCAUGGUAAUGUCUUUUGGUUUGACUAAUGCACCUGCAGUAUUUAUGGAUUUGAUGAACAGGGUGUUUAAGGAUUUCUUAGACACUUUUGUGAUAGUCUUCAUUGAUGAUAUUUUGGUUUAUUCCAAGACUGAGGCCGAACAUGAGGAACACUUACAUAAAGUGUUAGAGACUCUUCGAGUCAAUAAACUUUAUGCUAAAUUCUCUAAGUGCGAAUUUUGGUUGAAGCAGGUGGCUUUUCUUGGUCAUGUGGUUUCCAGUGAGGGAGUUUCUGUAGACCCUGCAAAGAUAGAAGCGGUUACCAGUUGGUCUCGACCCUCUACAGUUAGUGAGGUUCGUAGUUUUCUGGGUUUAGCAGGGUACUACCGGAGGUUUGUGGAGGAUUUUUCACGUUUGGCUACUCCCUUGACUCAGUUGACAAGGAAGGGAACUCCGUUUGUUUGGAGUCCAGCUUGCGAGGAUAGUUUUCAGAACCUUAAGCAAAGGUUAGUUACUGCACCGGUCCUUACAGUACCAGAUGGAUCCGGAAGUUUUGUGAUUUACAGUGAUGCUUCCAAGAAAGGACUGGGUUGUGUUUUGAUGCAGAAAGGUAAGGUGGUUGCUUAUGCCUCUCGUCAGUUGAAGAGUCACGAGCAGAACUACCCCACACAUGAUUUGGAGUUGGCAGCAGUGGUUUUUGCAUUGAAGAUAUGGAGACAUUAUUUGUACGGUGAAAAGAUACAAAUCUUUACUGACCAUAAGAGCCUGAAGUACUUCUUCACUCAGAAGGAGUUGAAUAUGAGACAGCGAAGGUGGCUCGAGUUGGUAAAGGAUUAUGACUGUGAGAUAUUGUACCAUCCUGGUAAGGCGAAUGUGGUGGCUGAUGCUCUUAGUAGAAAAGUAUCACAUUCGGCAGCACUCAUUACUAGACAGGUACCAUUACAUCGAGACUUGGAGAGAGCUGAGAUUGUAGUAUCUGUGGGGAGAGUCACCUCACAGUUAGCUCAAUUAACGGUGCAACUGACUCUGAGGCAGAAGAUUGUGUGAUGCUCAGAGUAAUGAUCCUUAUUUGAUGGAGAGACGUCGCCUUGUUGGAACAGAGCAGACUGAUGAGUUCUCCAUAUCCUCUGAUGGUGGAUUGAUGUUUGAGAGACGUUUGUGUGUGCCAGCGAACAGUGCAGCUAAGAUUGACUUACUAGAUGAAGCCCAUAAUUCUUCAUUUUCCAUGCAUCCUGGUAGUACGAAAAUGUAUCAGGAUCUAAAACGAUUUUAUUGGUGGCGGAAUAUGAAAAGGGAAGUGGCGGAAUUCGUUAGUAAGUGUCUAGUAUGUCAGCAGGUUAAGGCACCUAGACAGAAACCAGCAGGUUUGUUACAACCUUUAAGUGUGCCAGAGUGGAAGUGGGAGAAUGUGUCGAUGGAUUUUAUUUCAGGGCUGCCUAAGACCCUGAAGGGUUUCACAGUGAUUUUGGUUGUUGUAGACAGGCUUACGAAAUCGGCACAUUUUGUACCAGGGAAAUCCACUUAUACUGCUAGUAAGUGGGCACAGUUGUAUUUAACUGAGGUUGUGAGACUGCAUGGAGUGCCUGUAUCGAUUGUUUCUGACAGGGAUGCACGUUUACUUCCAAGUUUUGGAAGGGACUUCAGACUGCUAUGGGUACGAGAUUAGAUUUCAGUACAGCCUUUCAUCCACAAACUGAUGGUCAAACUGAACGUUUGAACCAAGUUUUAGAGGAUAUGCUACGAGCUUGUGUUCUAGAGUUUCCAGGUAGUUGGGACUCUCAUCUACAUUUGAUGGAGUUUGCUUAUAACAACAGUUUCCAGGCUACCAUCGGUAUGGCACCAUUUGAGGCUUUGUAUGGUAAAUGUUGUAGAACCCUAUUUGUUGGAGUGAGGUUGGUGAACAGAGGUUGAUGGGACCUAAAUUAGUUCGGUCUACUAAUGAGGCUAUUCAAAAGAUUAGAGCACGUAUGCAAACAGCGCAGAGUAGACAAAAGAGUUAUGCAGAUGUACGGCGAAAAGACCUUAAGUUUGAUGUGGGAGAAAAGGUAUUCUUGAAGGUAGCACCUAUGAAGGGUGUUAUGCGUUUUGAGAAGAAAGGGAAGUUAAGUCCUCGUUUUGUUGGACCAUUUGAGAUCUUAGAGAGGGUUGGUGUUGUGGCGUAUCGCUUGGCAUUACCACCAUCACUCUCUGCAGUCCAUAAUGUUUUCCAUGUUUCGAUGUUGAGGAAGUAUGUGGCCGAUACAUCUCAUGUCGUGGACUAUGAACCCUUGGAGAUUGAUGAGCAUUUGAGCUAUGUAGAACAACCUGUGGAGAUUCUGGCUAGAGAGGUAAAGAUGCUUCGUAAUAGAAGCAUUCCAUUAGUAAAGGUUUUGUGGCGGAAUCAUCGAAUUGAAGAGGCGACAUGGGAGCGAGAAGAAGAGAUGAGGACUCGUUAUCAAGAGUUAUUUCAGGAUUAGAACUUUCGCCUUAAGGAGGAAGAAUGUAACGCCCCAAACUCGAAGGUAUUUUAUUUUAAGAGAGAUUUGUACAAGAUUUAUUGUUUUGAAGAAAAUAUGUUGAAGGGGGGAAAGAAGAUUUGAAAAUGUGAUAAUAUAAUUAUAUAUAUAUUUAUUUAUAUUUUUAGUUUAAAUAAAAGAAAAGAAAAAGAAAUUUUAUUAUAUAUAUUUAUUUAUAUUUUAGUUUUAUUUUUAUUAUUUAAAUAAAAGAAAAGAAAAAAGAAAUUUUCCUUCCUUCUUCCUCCCGUGCGUCCUCCAUCCCUUUCUCCUUCCCGUACCCUAGCAGCCGCACAUCCCUCUCUUCUCCGUUCACCCAGUCGGCCACACAAGCUGCCGGUCGUUUCUUCUUCUUCUUUCCGGUCGUCUUCCUUUUCUCCUUCGGAUCGAAACCGCCGCGCCCAUCCGCUCACAACCACCGUGCCUCUCCGCUCACAACCGUCGUGCCUCCCUCGGAAAGCAAAUCGUCAUCCAGAUCUGCAUCGCCGAGCCGUCCAGGUCCUCGCCGUCGCUUGUGCUUCACCCUUGCAGUUCGCCAUAACCCAGAUCGUCGCUGCAACCGUCGGCCGGUUCGUGAAGUGCCGUACGCGUCACCUUGCAGCAGUCGUCCAGAUCUGCAUCGCCGUGCCCAUUCCUUUCCUCUCCGUUCGU
rnacentral:lncRNA from 1 species